UACGAAGGGGGCUAGCGUUGUUCGGAAUUACUGGGCGUAAAGGGCGCGUAGGCGGCUGUGCAAGUCAGGUGUGAAAGCCCUGGGCUCAACCCAGGAUGUGCACUUGAUACUGCGCAGCUAGAGUGUCGGAGAGGAUGGUGGAAUUCCCGGUGUAGAGGUGAAAUUCGUAGAUAUUGGGAAGAACACCGGUGGCGAAGGCGGCUCACUGGCCCGGUACUGACGCUGAGGUGCGAAAGCGUGGGGAGCAAACAGG
rnacentral:rRNA from 1 species